UAGAAAUUCUUUAUUUGGAAGGGUUUGAACGAUCACUGUGUUUAUCAUUUGAAGAGAGGGAGAGAGAUAGCGCGAUUCAGUGGAUCUUUAUCUUCCUAUUCCUCUCCACGUUCCUGCCCCCUCGCCGGCGCUCCGGUCGAUCGGUCGGAGGUAACCGGAGCUCGGAGUGGCAGGGCGGCGAUGGGCCAGGGCGUGAGCUGCGCCAGCUCGAGCUACGAGCACGAGUUCUUCACCGCAGUCCAAGCCGGUGACUUGGCAGCGGUGGACUGCGCCCUGAGCGACGACCCCUCUCUGCUGCUUCGGACCACCAUCUACGAUCGUCUCUCCGCGCUGCACAUCGCCGCCGCCAAUGGCCGCGUCGAGGUUCUAUCUUUGCUCUUGGAUCGAUCUGCGAGUCCCGAUGUCGCUAAUCGAGAUAAACAGACUCCAUUGAUGUUGGCCGCGAUGCACGGGAAGAUCGAGUGCCUGCAAAAGCUUCUUGAUUCGGGAGCAAAUAUCUUAAUGUUCGAUUCAGGACAUGGAAGAACAUGCCUGCACUAUGCUGCGUAUUAUGGUCACUCAGAUUGUUUGCAAUCGAUUUUGCUGGCGGCCAAAUCCGCACCAGUCGCCGGUUCUUGGGGAUUCGCUCGAUUUGUCAACCUGAGAGAUGGCUCAGGGGCGACGCCGCUGCACCUCGCUUCCAGGCAAAGGCGGCCCAACUGUGUUCAUACUCUCUUGGACAGCGGAGCUCUCGUCGGUUCUUCGACUGGCCGAUACGGUUUUCUCGGCAGCACUCCGCUUCACUUGGCAGCUCGCGGGGGAAGUUUGGACUGCAUCCGUGAAUUGCUCGCGCGAGGUGCUGAUCGGCUUCAGAGAGAUGCAUCUGGGAGGCUACCGUACGAGGUUGCACUGAAGCAGAAUCAUGCAACAUGCGCAGCUCUACUUGACCCGUCUGCAGCAGAUCCUCUGGUUUGGCCCUCUUCAUUGAAGUUCAUUAGCGAACUUAAUCUAGAGGCCAAAGCUCUACUGGAGGCAGCUCUGGUGGAGGGUAACAGACAAAGAGAGCUAAAGAUCCUGAAAGCAGCAAAUCAAUCUUUGACAUCUCUUGCUCGUUCAGAUAUAGCAUCUGAUGAUGAUAUUUCAGAGGAUGGCGAUGCGAAGCUGUGCUCCAUCUGCUUCGACAGAGCUUGCACCAUGGAGGUCCAAGACUGCAAGCAUCAGAUGUGUGCCCAUUGCGUUCUUGCCUUGUGCUGCCAUAGCAAGCCCAACCCCACAACCUUGUGCUUGCCAUCACCUGCCUGCCCCUUUUGCCGCACCAGCAUCUCAAAGCUGGUCAUCGCCAAUGCCAAGGAUGGCGAAGAGCAUGGCGACGUCUCGACUCACAGGCUGCCAAGAAGGACCCAGAAUUGCAUCGAGGGCAGCAGUAACUUCAGAGAUCUGUCUUCAGCUAUGGGUUCAUUUGGAAACAUAGAAAUAACUACUGAUAGCAGGGAUAUGGUGAACAAGCUUUAGAUCUCACUGCAUAAAAAAAACAAGGCUAAAGUGAAGCAUGAAGAAAGAACUGAUGGGAAUUGGUGAUUCAAUGUACAAGUGCACGCUAAUUGAGAGGUGUUUUGGACGUUGGCUAUCAUAUUGGAGACACAUUGACGGUGGGAUCUCUUAUUUUAAUAAGCAUGUGGAGCCUUGGUCUCUGGCCUCUUUGGCAGUGUCUACUCCUAUCAUUUCACUUGGUAAGAUCACCUAAAACUCUAUUUUCUUUCCAAGUAAACACCUGGGCGGAAGCAGUAGGAAGCAGUAGUUCAGUAAGUGUGGAAGAGUGGCUUCUACUAAUGUAGAUUUUGGUUGGAUUGUGUCAGCUUGAUAUUGAAAUGGCGAGUAGUUGUUGUACCCAUUUCAGAGUGAAGAAGUGGUUGUGGGAAGUUGAGAUAGUUUGAUGAAUGCUUUGGUUCAAUUCAAGAGUCCACUUUAAUCGCCUUCCAAUUCCACCGGUCCCUAUCGAGCCGAUACCCUAAGAAUAAAAAAAUUUACUUUUUAGUCAGUGUAAUUCUUAACCUUUGGUAGGAUUGGCAGAUUCAGAUUAGGAGUUGUCCUUCUCUUCCUGAUUCACUUAAAUAAUGCAGAGAUUUUGUAAAGAUUCGAUCACAGAUCUACCAAACUGGUUGGUAAGCUCUCAUUUUCAUUAUUUAUUUUUCUCGAGUUAAUUACCAAUUUUAUAUGAAAAUUUUAAAUUGUCAUUAACUUUUAAUAUUAAAAGGAGAAUUUGACUGGGUACAAUUACCAAAAAUCUUUGCAAGAACAUGAACCAUCUCUAAAAUGAUGGAACCUCUUAUUGUCUCUCACGAUAAUUUCCCGCUCUACCACUUUCGAAAGCAACUUGGCUGCGUUAUGGCAGUCUCUGCAUAUCCUUAUGUUCUUGCACACCCUAAUUUUCGUGUUUCCGUUCAUCUUCAACAGCCCGAAAGCUAUCGCUUGUUUCUCGCUAUGGCCUUGCAAAAUCUUAAGCUUCUCCUCCUCAUUCAACUCAUGUAACACUACACUAGUGUCGGGAACAUAUCCAAUUCUCCUCAACUUCUCCUCGAGAACACACCACAUUCUAUGAAUUUCAUCGGAUUCUGGAAGUUGAUUAUCACCCGAAACAAAGUUGUAAACUCGACCACCCACAUCGAUCCAACUAAAACCAGGGUCCUUGUAGAGGUCCAUCUCUUUCAUUCGGUGUCUAAUUCUUCGAACGCAAUCCCACCUCUCUUGGCUUGCGAAGAGGUUCGACGCCAAAACAUAAUGCUCAGAUCUCUGAGGCUCCAACUCUAACAGUUUCUCAGCAACUUUCUCCCCCAAACAUAUAUCACCAUGAGUUCUGCACGCUGCAAGCAAUGCACUCCAGAUUCUGCCAUCAGGUUCUUCGGGCAUCUCUUCGAUGAUUGUUAAUGCUUCCACCAACUUCCCUACGCGCCCAAGCAUGUCUGCAACACACGCAUAGUGUUCCAACUUUGGAUCGAUACCGUGCUUGUUUUUCAUCUCCUCGAAGUAGCCCAAUCCUUCUUCCACCAAACCUGUAUGAUUGCAUGCCAUUAAAAUGCCGACAUAGGUGAAUGCAUCAGGCUUCAACCCUUGUGCUUCCAUCAUUUUGUAUAGUUGUAUUGCUUCAUGCCCGAGUCCAUUGAUUGCGUAUCCGGUGAUCAUCACAGUCCAUGAGACCACAUCUUUGUUCUUCAUGUUGCCAAAGAAGGUCCGGGCUUGCUCCACGGCACCACAUUUCGCAUACAUAUCGAUUACUGAACUGCUAAGGAAGGUAUCCUCUGCAAAGCCAUUCUUCAGUGCAUAGCAAUGUGCCUCUUGCCCUAACCGCAAGGCGGAUAGUUCAGAGCAAGCCGUGAAGGCACUGGUGGUUGCGAAAAUUGUAGGUCCAUGUCUGUCAUGCUGCAUUUGGCGAAAAAGCUCGAGGCAUUCCAAUGGAAGUCCAUUCUGACAGUAGCCAGCAAGCAUGGCAUUCCACGAGACAGAAUCCUUAACCUCCGUGCCGUCAAACAAAAACCUCGCUUCAGUUGCUCGUCCACAUUGGAUGUAAACUGAGAUAAGUGAGAUCAAAAUGAAUGAAUCCUUCUCCAAGCCAUUCCUCAGGACAUAACCAUGGAGGGACUUUCCAUCAGGAAGAUCCUGAAGAUUAGCACAAGCAAGCAACAUGCUUCCUAUGGUAAACCAAUCAGACUGUAUGCCGGAAGACGACAUCCGAAGGAAUAAUUGGAUGGCUUUGUUAGCAUCAGCGUUCUGUGCAUAACCUCCUAUAAUUGCAUUCCAUGAGCCAACAGUCUUGAUCUUCACUCUUUCGAAGACAUUAUCUGCAUAGUUUAGAGAUCCACAUUUUGCAUAAGCUGCCAUCAGAGCAUUUGGAACCAAUUCAUUGCUGUGCAGUUCAUUUCUGAUCACAUGAGCAUGGACUUCCUUCACAGCUCGUAAUUCUGAUGACGAUGAACAAGCCGGCAAGACAUUCAACACAGUCACUUCAUCGGCGUUGAAUCCUUUAUCUUGCAUUUGGUGGAGAAGAUCAAAGGUCCUCUUGACAUCUCCAUUCCUUGACAAGCCACAGAUCAUCGUGUUCCAUGACACAACAUUCCUGUUGAGGUUGUUAUCGAAGAGCUUUUGCGCAUCUGGUAAACAAUCACACUUUGCAUACAUAUCAACCAAAGCAUUGCUCACUCUGAGUUCAUGAACUAAAUCCAGUUUCACUGUCAAUCCAUGAAGAACUCUUCCCAUCUCGAGCCAUCCUUCUACCGCGCACAUAGGAAGUACUGUAACGAUCGUGGCAUCAUCCGGUUUGAAGUUAUCAUCGGCGACGACCAACAACAUCUCCGUGAACAAGCUGAAUCCAUCUUCCAGUAACAAAUUGUCAGAAAACACAGAAAUCAUUGAGUUCCAGGAAACCAAGUUUCUCGCCGGCAUCGUAUCGAACACAUGAGAGGCACCAUCGACGCGGCCGCAUUUGCCAUACAUCGAAAUCAGAGAAUUGUUGACGAAAGUAUCAGAAGCCAAUCCAAGCUUCACGGCCACUCCAUGUAUGGAUUUCCCGGCCGACUCAUCCAUCAGCCCGGCGCAAGACUUGACGACGCAGGGGAUGGUGAAAUUGUCGGGUUGGAGCUCGGCCACGGACAUCAACUGCAGGAAGGCGUCGAGAGCUUCAGGGAAAAGGUCGCAGCGCGUGUAUCCGCUGAUCAAGGCGUUCCAUUGAAAAAGGUUCCUUUUUGCGAGGGAAUCGAAGAGCCGACGGGCGUCGGCGGGGGCGCCGCAGGCGAAGUACAUGGUGAGAAGGCGAGUGGUGAGGACAGAAUUGGAGAUGAGUUCGGAGGAGGAGUCUAGGAGGGCGUGGACGCAGCGGCCGAGGUCGAGGUCGCCCUGGGCGCCGCAGGCCUGGAUGAGGAGGCCUAUGCCAUCGGAGAGAGAGUGCAAGGCAGAUGGUUCCGCGGAGAGGAGUAGGCGGAGGGCCUCUUCGAGGUGGCCCUGGGCGCAUAGAUCUAGUAGAAGCUGAGGGCGCGAAGGAGAACGAGAGGAUUGCAAGGGGGAGAAAGAGAUGGAAGAAGCGAAAGCAGUGGUCUUCUUCUUGACCUCGACAAAUUGCGCUCUCAAGGUGUUUUUGCUGUGGCGGAGGUAGAAAGGGAAGAGAGGAGCGGAGCGGAUCGCCUUUGAGUUGACCGGCGGCGAUGCCGCCGCCGCUAAAGCCAUCGUCGUUUCACUGCCACCGCUGUUUUGGAUACGGUUAGUUCCAUGAUGAUGAGAAAUUUUCAUUUGCAACCCCUAGAAUUCACUUUUACGAAAUAGACCAUAGAGGUUCCAAUUCCUCAUUUUGAAGUA